rnacentral:rRNA from 1 species
UACGUAGGGUGCGAGCGUUAAUCGGAAUUACUGGGCGUAAAGUGUGCGCAGGCGGCGUCGCAAGUCGAGUGUGAAAGCCCCGGGCUUAACUUGGGAAUUGCGCUCGAAACUACGGUGCUGGAGUAUGGCAGAGGAAGGUGGAAUUCCACGUGUAGCGGUGAAAUGCGUAGAGAUCCGGAGGAACCCCAGAGGCGAAGGCGGCGUCCUGGCUCGCAUCUGACGCUCAGACACGACAGCAUGGGGAGCGAACGGG